GCUAUACUGAUCGGCCUCCAAACUUGGCAUCGGUGAUGAGCUGCAACGCAAGGUGCAGGGGACUCAUUCAUUCUGACACCGAGUCAGGAGUCAGGCCUAGGACCCCAGAACAUUGCCCUGGGUGCGGCUCCCCCGGCUGAGUGGUUACUACUUCAAACAGUCCAAGAACUCCUGGCCAAGACCUCUGGCCCGCCCCCAAAUGUAGUCGCUCCUAAUGCACUCCCUGGAAAGACAAAAAUGAGGAGCCUGAAGGAGGUUCAGCUGGUGAAGGUGCUUGGUUGUCCAAGCUUGAACGCCUGCCUGAGUUUGAUCCCUGGAACCCAUGUAAGAGGGGAAGACAGACCCCCACAAAGUUGUCCUCUGACCUCUACCUGUUACUACACUCCAGAGAAAUCCAUCCACAUUUUCCAGUGAAAUGCUAAUGCUAGUUCCUCCCUCUGCUUCCAUGACCAGCUUUGUCCCUACCUCCUAGGAACAAGUAAGACCUCCAC
rnacentral:lncRNA from 1 species